CGUUGGGAUGAAGGCAAUCCUGGAUAAAAAUAAAUCUUGAAAGAGCAGCUCCAAAUCAUCUGACUGCUAAUAAGGCAACCGUGCAUUUGCUCCUCCUACCAUUUGUAGAAUUGGUGUGCAGUCCUUUCAAGUUUUCAGCGAAGGAUUGGCAAUUCUAGACAGGCAAUUUGUUCAGAAGAUAGCUUUGAAGCAAUUCCACAUUUAUAUGCUCAGAAAAGCGGG
rnacentral:misc_RNA from 1 species